CCUGUCGAUUUUCUGUGGAAGAGUUAAGCAUGUAAGAAUUAGUGGUUCUUUCUGGUUUUAAAAGUUAAGCAUGGCUGGGCCUAGUUAGUGCUUGGAUGGGAGACCACCAAGGAAUAUUGGACAUAGCUCCAGGU
rnacentral:rRNA from 1 species